rnacentral:misc_RNA from 1 species
GAUGAAGAACGCAGCGAAAUGCGAUAAGUAGUGUGAAUUGCAGAAUUCAGUGAAUCAUCGAAUCUUUGAACGCACAUUGCGCCCCUUGGUAUUCCAUGGGGCAUGCCUGUUCGAGCGUCAUUUCAACCCUUAAGCCCUGUUGCUUAGCGUUGGGAGCCUACAGUACUGUAGCUCCCCAAAGUUAGUGGCGGAGUCGGUUUCACACUCUAGACGUAGUAAUUUUUUCUCGUCUGUAGUUGAGCCGGUCCCCUGCCGUAAAACACCCAAUUUAUCAAGGUUGACCUCGGAUCAGGUAGGAAUACCCGCUGAACUUAAGCAUAUCAAUAAGCGGAGGA